ACAAUAAUAACUAGAAGCAAAAAACAACGACGUCAUGUUAAUAAACCUUAAAACGACACCAUUCUGAUGAAAAAAAUGAUUUAACGAUAAGGAUUUCUUUUCCUAAUUCGAUGACCCUGAUUUAAUCUAGAUUGCUAUAAAUUGGAAAGACAUCUAAAAAAGAAAAAGAAGAAACUCAAAGAGAGAGUGAGGCUGCUGACACUAGGAGGGAGUGGUAGAGAGGAAGAGAAGGAGAGAGGUUAACAGAGUAGUAAGGCUAAUAGAAGAAUAAAUAGGAGGGUGAUUUCCGUGAAGGCCAAGCUAAAAGAUGGUC
rnacentral:lncRNA from 1 species